rnacentral:rRNA from 1 species
CGCGCAGGUGGUUGAUUAAGUCUGAUGUGAAAGCCCACGGCUUAACCGUGGAGGGUCAUUGGAAACUGGUCGACUUGAGUGCAGAAGAGGGAAGUGGAAUUCCAUGUGUAGCGGUGAAAUGCGUAGAGAUAUGGAGGAACACCAGUGGCGAAGGCGGCUUUCUGGACUGAAACUGACGCUGAGGCGCGAAAGCGUGGGAGCAAACA